CAACAGACACCAAUGCUGAGUGCUUGAUAUGGUACAAUCCCUUGAGGACAUAAAGCAGCCACUCAGUGGCAAGCUUAUUACCCAAGGUCUCUUCCACCCUGGAGGACACAACAAUUCAUCCUUACUAGAAAUGAGAAUGUCAACUUAUAAACAUAGAAGAAAUGAAGGACCUCUUCAAGGAGAACUACAAACCACUGCUCAAGGAAAUAAGAGAGGAUACAAAAAAUUGGAAAAAAAAUUC
rnacentral:lncRNA from 10 species